GACAGAGGGGGCAAGCGUUGCUCGGAAUUACUGGGCGUAAAGCGCACGUAGGCGGCUUUCUAAGUCGGGGGUGAAAUCCUGGAGCUCAACUCCAGAACUGCGUCCGAUACUGGCAGGCUUGAAUUCGGGAGAGGGAUGUGGAAUUCCAGGUGUAGCGGUGAAAUGCGUAGAUAUCUGGAGGAACACCGGUGGCGAAGGCGGCAUCCUGGACCGAUAUUGACGCUGAUGCGCGAAAGCCAGGGGAGCAAACGGG
rnacentral:rRNA from 1 species